UUGAAUCAAUGUCCAAUUCCAUAGUUAUAACUUGUAAGCUACAUUGAUAAAGUUAUAAAUAAAACCAAGUGAUGGAGAAUUUACAUGUAAAAAUUUGGAGUACUGCCUAAUGGAUUUUGUCGUGCGUGCCUCGUCAAGCACAAUUCUGAACCACAACCACUUGACCGAAUAGAGAUAAGAAUCCUGGAUCAUUAGGUUAACAUAUGAUAAUCCACCUCUCCUCGGUGUACCAGAAACAACGUUAUUGUCAUGAUAGCAUGCAAGUGGGGUAAAUAGUGAAUAUUCUCUUAGAGAAUAUAUGUAUAGUCGGAUAAGUUUCAGCCCUCUUUCCUUAAUAAACAAUACUCUUUAACUUUCCUUACUAGCGGUCGCAGCAAAUUUUAGUAAAUGCUUGACGCACAAGAAAAGGGGUCGAUCGGAAAUCACGGUGCAGGAAUUUUGGUACGUAAUAGAUUGAAGGUGCACCGGUUAUAUAUAUAUAUAUGGUUUUACAGGGAGAAUUUUUACAGCAUUAGUUUGUUUUGUUAAAACUUGAAAAUAGUGUCAUGGCGGCGGAAGGAAACAACAAUCACCAUCAUCCCUCCGACAUGUCUCAGCAAAAUCCAGCCUAUCAUCAUAAUCCCUCCGACGUGUCUCAGCAAACUCCUGCCUAUCAUAAUCCCUCUGGUCAUGGGUGGUAUAGUUAUUAUCCGUCCAACAUGUUUCAGCAAACUCCUGCGCAUCAUGAUCCCUCUAAUUAUCAUGAUGGGUGGUAUGAUGGUUCUCCCUUUUAUUAUCCCUCCAACAAGCCUCAACCAACCCCCGUCUUUUACCCUCCUACCUUUCAUUAUCCCUUCAACAUGCCUCAGCAAACCCCCGUCUUUUACAACGCGUCCGAUUAUGGUUCCAGCUACGCUCCUGGCUUUCGUUAUCCUUGUAGUUGUAAGAUUUCUUACAACUGCAUUCCACUUAAUCUGGUUGUCUAUCUAUGUAAUCAUCAUGAACAAUUAUUUUAUCCUUGCAGUUGUAAGAUUUCUUACAACUGCAUUCCAGUUAAUCUGGUUGUCUAUCUAUGUAAUCAUCAUGAACAAUUAUUUUAUUGAUUGAAUAUUCAGAUGACUUACAAGAUAGAUGGAAAUCUACAACAACACUUCUUGUAACCUAAACUUACUUUCUCUCUCUUUCAAUCUCUCUUACAAGACUUGUCUUAGAAUAAUCUUAAAAACAACGACUCUCUCCUUUAUAUAGGAUUUUACAUAGUGGAUGACAACUAAAAAACUCAUUAUUUUCGGGAUCACUAUGCGACACAUUCGCUCAUAUACAAUCGCUCAUCUUCGCAUAGCGUACCUCUUCCACAGUUCUUCACACUUUACUCGUGACUUUGCUGACAUCAUCUGGUGUGUCAUCUCAAUUUGUUGUGUGAGAUGCUCCUCGCGUAUGUUGUAUUCUUCUCUUCGCAUAAUUAAUAACUUGUGCGAUAUCUAACUCCUACAUUUGCCUCUUCUCAUUUCGCUUGAUUCUUCAAAAUGAGCGAUAUGAGAAAUUCUCCAUUUUCAAAUCGCACAUGCUUAUCUUUUGCCAUUUUAUUUUGUCGAAAGUUAUCCGGAUUUCAAGCUCCUCUCUACACUUGUCGAUUUUCUUCCUUUUUUACCAGCUUGAACCGUCUUCAACCGGUAACUUCUUUCCACCUAUUUAACACUAGUGGAAAAUGGGGUUUCUAUGACUCACAUCAAAGACCCUCGUUGACCGUAGCCGAUACGUUGACCAAAGGUAGCGGUCUCUGAUUCGGUAAAAACACGGAAAAAAUCUGAAAGCCCAAUAAGCGGUCUCUGAAUUAGAAAUUUUAUUUACGGUUUUGCCAUCAUGGAACUACCGAUUCCACGACCCUCAACCUCCGAUUCAGAUCUGGUGAUCGAUUUUGGGCCCUGCAGUUUCUGUGGUCAUGAUUUGCUUAACUUAAAAGAAUGGUUGGAUGAUAACAAUCCUCUCUCUCUCUCGUUUUUAUCGUCUCCCCACUAAAGAAAAUAUCCUCUCUCUUUCACCGCAUAUCAUCUCCCUAUCACCUCAUUCACCUCUGCUCUCGGUCUCCAUCUCUUACCUAAAGAACCAGCACCAUGGAAAUCCCGUCUCUUGAUUCUUCUUCUGAUCAAUAACCCCAGAUGCCGCUAAUUAAAUCUCAAACCUACUGGAAAUAGUUUUUCAUCAGUGCUCCUUCUCAAUUUAAUUUCAAUUUAUUUUCGAUUGCAUCCAUGUUUUUUUGUUUUCAUUUUAGGGGUUUUGUCGAAAUCUCUAACAACUUCUAAAUAAACUAUGAUUGCCGUUAAAUUUGUUCAUUUUAGGGUUUGAGAAUCUUGAGAUGUUCUUCGAUUUUCAAUCUAUACAGAUAUAGCUUUUCAUGUUUUUGUUAGGGUUUUUAGUUUCUAGUUAUUGAUCUUCAAUCCGAGAAGAUUUAGAUUCUAGGAUUUCAAUCAUUGAAUUAGAUUGGUUUAAAACUCUGGUUCGUUUCUCUGAUUUAACACUCAAUUGAAUCAUUGUGAAGAUAUCAAGGGUUCUGAAUCUUGAAAUUUAUUGAAUCGUUACAUCGUUUCAAUGGUUCGUGAGGUUAUUGCUAUAAUCUAGAGUUCUAUUUGUGUUCUGUUUUUGGUUUUUCAAUUCAGAUUAUAGGGAUUUUGUUUUUGUUUUUUCAAUUUGGGUUUUAGGGUUUUUUCAAAAGCUAUAUCUACUGCAUUGAUUUCGUUAAUAAUGAAUUCAUUUAUAAUUUUUGUUUCCCUCUUUCAAAUUUUCAUAGAUCAUGACUCGGUGUCUCUGAAAUCCGAAGAAAAGGUUGAGGAAAUAUUCUUAUGGAAUGUUAACUGAACAAACCUAAGUAAAAUUAUCUAGUAAUAGCACAAUGUGAUGUUUUUUUAUUUAGAUUUUUUGGUAAUCAAAUCUCAGUGUAAUAAUAUUUAUGGAUAUUAACAGGAGGAGUUUGAGAAAACUUAAUCUCCCUUGAAGCAUCAAACUAGAUAUGUUGCUGCAUUUCUAGAUCUGCAAGGUUUUCUGUUUUCAUCAGGGUGGCUGGUUAUUGAUGUUAUUCGUGGUGGGAUUAUUCUUGGUACGGUGGGGGCAUGAGUACAGCUAAAGUCGCUCUAGAGAGUGACACUGUAAUGUGUAGCUUUCUAGGCAAGAGGGUUAAAGAAGCAUUUGAAGAGGCUCAAUGCGCUUAAGCAUUGGAUGCUUGUCAAGCUUGGUGGUACCUUUGCUCCACUCAGUGUGUCAAGAUACGAGUGAUACAAACACCACUAUUUGUAUCUGGCAUAAACACAUUUCUGUAAGUUUUGUUUGGAACCAGGUUACCGGCAGUCAUUGAUGGUUCUUCUGCUGAUAUUGUACCUAUCCUCUGCAUUAUCGGAGACUCAUCUCUACAACGAAUCAAUGAACCUCAUGAAAGAUUUUUACACAAUAUGAUGAAAACUCAAGGAGUCCUGAUUGUAGCUGCAAGCUUGCAGAUCAUACUAGGAUUUAGUCAAGUAUGGGGAUUUUUUUUGCUGUACACAUUCAAUUCGUAUCUAAAGAAUGUGUUGGGAUAUAAUCUAAUUGUAUCUUACUUACUUAGUUCUUCAUGAUUGAAUCACAGGUUGUUGUUAGAAUUUACUAGGUAUUUUGGACAUGUAUUCUCUGAACUCAGUAUUUCAUCCUUUUUUCUGUAAUUUUACACUCAAUGGAUAAAAUGAAUGAAUGUUAAAAUUCUCAGUUUGAUUAUAAAUUUCAGUUAAAUUUGAAUUUCAGUUAAAUUUAAGGUUGCAUUUGAAUUUCAGUUUGACUUAACUUGACUUUAAUCUGACUUGACUGUAGUUUGACUUCACUUGACUGAAAUUUGACUUGAAUGGCAGUAAGAUUAAUUCAGAUUCAACCAUUCAGGCAUUUCAGCUGAUCUGAAUCUGUAUUUUUUUAUAUUAUAAUUCAAAUCUACGACCAGUUUAAUGGGUCAACACCUAAUGACGAUUAGAAGGGGUCUCUGUUCAGAGACCCAUGGUUUAGGGUCACGCAAUAAAAAAACGCUUUAUCAGCGACCCAUUUAGAGACCGUUAGAAACGGGUCGUUUAACUUUUAUAUAUGACUUGUCCUGACGGUCGUGGAACUUCUGUUUUCCACUAGUGUAAGGGUUUUGUCCAUAAGAUUAUUCUUUCUUCAUCAUUCAUCUUCUCUCUCUUGUUGCUAUCCAUCUUCGUCUGCUACCUCCUAUUUCUAUUGUUGUAUUGAUUUCUUCUGCUACUACUCUGCCAUGAAUUCUGAAUCAAGAAAAAGCUCUUCCGUUAGUGCUGUUCGAAUUAUGCAAAGACCCAACUCUUCUUCAAGUGAAAAUAAAGAAUCGCAAAAGAAAAAACCAAGUAUCGAUAAUGAACCUCAAAACAAGGAAUCUCAGAAGAGGAAGACUUCGCACAAUAAAGAAGCUUCUGAUGCUGAGAUAGUUGAUGGUAAGAAACAGAAAGUUAAAAAGUCUCGCAAACCCGUACCUCUCUCUUCAAAUCUUUAUAUUUUAGAUUUUAGCGCUGUAGAUGUUGUUCUUGUAUCCAUAGCUCUACCUUCGCACGCUAAUCCUCCUAUCACUCCAACAAUAAGUCAAACUCUUGAAAAAGAUGUUUCCAUUACCCAUACAUCUCCCCAUGGUUCUGAGAAGAAUGUUCCUGCUACUCCUUCUCCAACAAAUCCUCCUAUGGAUGAGAAUGCUUAUGUUACAUUCGAAGAACUUUUUAAAGAUUCUCCUGCGGGUAAAGAGUUUUCUCUUAGCCAAACCCUGAAAAGUACUCCUCAUGUUGCCUCUGCGAAUCCAUCGCAUGCAAGUCAAAUUUUUCCUUUACCCAUUAGUUCUAGUUCUCAUCCGAACCUCCCUCAAAAUAAAUCUACCAUCCCAACAGUUUCUACUACUCCUCCUUCUCUUUCCUUACUGGAUUCUUUUCCUUUGAAUAGAAAGGCUUUGGAUAGUGUAAAACUGACUACUCAAACUCUGCCGAUGUUAUCAACUCUUCCCAAUCUUUGACCGAUGAUCCUUCCAAACUUCGCUCCUGUUCUUCCUUGAGUCAGCUUCUUCGUGAAUUUCCUGUUGACAAAGCUUCACGAGAUGAGGUCCUUUCUCAAAUUGACCCGGGUUUCCACGUCGAUCUAGAUGUUUUGGAAUAUCAUCGUCGUAUGAUGCUGGGUGAAAAGCAUUUUGAAUCUAGCUGUUCUCAAUUGGAACUUUCGCAGAAAAAUAUUUCUUUGGAAAAGGAAAUACAAAGAUUGAGAGGGGAACUUCAAAUUUAAAAUUUUGAGGCUGAAAAUCUUCGCAGCGAAAAUCAAAAACUUAGAGAUUUAAACCAGAAGUGAACGAAUGAGAGAUAUGAAUUUCAAUUCCUUGUUGAAGAUACCCAAGCGAAUAACGCAAAGUUGCAGUCUCAGCUAAAUCAAUUAAACAAUCAGUAUUCAUAUGCACAUGAUCAGAUUAACCAUCUUUCCCAUGAGAAUGACCAUCUUACUCAAAAAAUUGAUUUUCUUAGCGAUCAAAUAUCUUAUUUUUCUAAGUUGUCACGCGACGCUGACUUACUUCAUCAAACGUUAUCAGAAGAGAACCAUACCCUUUCUAAGGAAAAACUAUCUUUCUCAAAGAAAGAAGCAAUGUUUUCACAGCAGUAUUCAAUACUUCAUGAAAUAAAUGAAAAUCAAACGCGAAUUCUUCGCAUACUGAAGGAGAAGUAUGAGACUUCGCUUAAAGAUUUGAGCUCCCGAAAUGAGAAAUUAAUUCAGAAUAAUAUAAAUCUUUCUGUGAAGAAGAAUCAAUUUCAAGAACAACACAGUCAACUGAAGAAUUCUUAUGACGUUCUUAAGAAAAAGAACAAAUCACUUUCUUCUGAAGAAAAGAAAAUUCGCUCUAGUCUCAGUGGUUCAGUUGGUGAUGGAUUUGAUAAGGCUAUGGAAAGUACAAAGGACAAUACCCUUGCUUUUUCCAAAUUCUUCCAAGAUUCUGAAAAAUCGCACCAGUCUGCUGUUGCUCAACUGAGUUCUGAAUUAUCCAAAGUUCGCAAAGAAUAUGCUAAUCUGUUAUUGACGGGAUUCUUUUAAGAAAUUCUCUUCCAGCAGUAAAACUCCCCAUAUGCAAUGUGGGUGCAGAUGAAGAAUAUCCUGAACCAGAUAGCGAUUUUGACUUUUUAAGCGACGAUGAAAAAGAUCAGGUGAUGAAGAAAUUCAGCAAGAAGAAGAGAAAUCCACUAAUGAUGCCGGUACCGGAAUUGAGAAUCCCGAGUCCAGUGCUAAAGUCUGAUGUUACUGUUUGAUCAUUCUUGAUUUCCUUUCUUUAUUUUGAUGUUUUUUGAUCCUUCGCAUUUUUAGUCUUGUUUGUUGCAAGGAAGAUAAUAUAUUGUUGUUUUAAUUCC